rnacentral:rRNA from 1 species
GGUAAUACGAAGGGACCUAGCGUAGUUCGGAAUUACUGGGCUUAAAGAGUUCGUAGGUGGUUGAAAAAGUUGGUGGUGAAAUCCCAGAGCUUAACUCUGGAACUGCCAUCAAAACUUUUCAGCUAGAGUAUGAUAGAGGAAAGCAGAAUUUCUAGUGUAGAGGUGAAAUUCGUAGAUAUUAGAAAGAAUACCAAUUGCGAAGGCAGCUUUCUGGAUCAUUACUGACACUGAGGAACGAAAGCAUGGGUAGCGAAGAGGAUUAGAUACCCUCGUAGUCCAUGCCGUAAACGAUGUGUGUUAGACGUUGGAAAUUUAUUUUCAGUGUCGCAGCGAAAGCGAUAAACACACCGCCUGGGGAGUACGACCGCAAGGUUAAAACUCAAAUGAAUUGACGGGGACCCGCACAAGUAGUGGAGCAUGUGGUUUAAUUCGAAGAUACGCGCAGAACCUUACCAACACUUGACAUGUUCGUCGCGACUUUAAGAGAUUAAAGUUUUCGGUUCGGCCGGACGAAACACAGGUGCUGCAUGGCUGUCGUCAGCUCGUGUCGUGAGAUGUUGGGUUAAGUCCCGCAACGAGCGCAACCCUCACUUUUAGUUGCCAUCAUUUAGUUGGGCACUCUGAAAGAACUGCCAGUGAUAAGCUGGAGGAAGGUGGGGAUGACGUCAAGUCCUCAUGGCCCUUACGUGUUGGGCUACACACGUGCUACAAUGGU